rnacentral:rRNA from 1 species
AGACGGAGGGGGCUAGCGUUGUUCGGAAUUACUGGGCGUAAAGCGCUCGUAGGCGGCUUGUAAAGUCGGAUGUGAAAUCCCCGGGCUCAACCUGGGAACUGCAUUCGAUACUGGCAGGCUAGAGUAUAGUAGAGGCAAGUGGAAUUUCGGGUGUAGCGGUGAAAUGCGUAGAUAUCCGAAGGAACAUCAGUGGCGAAGGCGACUUGCUGGACUAAUACUGCCGCUGAGGAGCGAAAGCGUGGGGAGCAAACGGGAUUAGAAACCCCGGUAGUCC